rnacentral:rRNA from 1 species
AUGAACGCUAGCUACAGGCUUAACACAUGCAAGUCGAGGGGCAGCAUGGUCUUAGCUUGCUAAGACUGAUGGCGACCGGCGCACGGGUGAGUAACACGUAUCCAACCUGCCGUCUACUCUUGGACAGCCUUCUGAAAGGAAGAUUAAUACAAGAUGGCAUCAUGAGUCCGCAUGUUCACAUGAUUAAAGGUAUUCCGGUAGACGAUGGGGAUGCGUUCCAUUAGAUAGUAGGCGGGGUAACGGCCCACCUAGUCUUCGAUGGAUAGGGGUUCUGAGAGGAAGGUCCCCCACAUUGGAACUGAGACACGGUCCAAACUCCUACGGGAGGCAGCAGUGAGGAAUAUUGGUCAAUGGGCGAGAGCCUGAACCAGCCAAGUAGCGUGAAGGAUGACUGCCCUAUGGGUUGUAAACUUCUUUUAUAAAGGAAUAAAGUCGGGUAUGCAUACCCGUUUGCAUGUACUUUAUGAAUAAGGAUCGGCUAACUCCGUGCCAGCAGCCGCGGUAAUACGGAGGAUCCGAGCGUUAUCCGGAUUUAUUGGGUUUAAAGGGAGCGUAGAUGGAUGUUUAAGUCAGUUGUGAAAGUUUGCGGCUCAACCGUAAAAUUGCAGUUGAUACUGGAUAUCUUGAGUGCAGUUGAGGCAGGCGGAAUUCGUGGUGUAGCGGUGAAAUGCUUAGAUAUCACGAAGAACUCCGAUUGCGAAGGCAGCCUGCUAAGCUGCAACUGACAUUGAGGCUCGAAAGUGUGGGUAUCAAACAGGAUUAGAUACCCUGGUAGUCCACACGGUAAACGAUGAAUACUCGCUGUUUGCGAUAUACGGCAAGCGGCCAAGCGAAAGCGUUAAGUAUUCCACCUGGGGAGUACGCCGGCAACGGUGAAACUCAAAGGAAUUGACGGGGGCCCGCACAAGCGGAGGAACAUGUGGUUUAAUUCGAUGAUACGCGAGGAACCUUACCCGGGCUUAAAUUGCAGAUGAAUUACGGUGAAAGCCGUAAGCCGCAAGGCAUCUGUGAAGGUGCUGCAUGGUUGUCGUCAGCUCGUGCCGUGAGGUGUCGGCUUAAGUGCCAUAACGAGCGCAACCCUUAUCUUUAGUUACUAACAGGUCAUGCUGAGGACUCUAGAGAGACUGCCGUCGUAAGAUGUGAGGAAGGUGGGGAUGACGUCAAAUCAGCACGGCCCUUACGUCCGGGGCUACACACGUGUUACAAUGGGGGGUACAGAGGGCCGCUACCACGCGAGUGGAUGCCAAUCCCAAAAACCUCUCUCAGUUCGGACUGGAGUCUGCAACCCGACUCCACGAAGCUGGAUUCGCUAGUAAUCGCGCAUCAGCCAUGGCGCGGUGAAUACGUUCCCGGGCCUUGUACACACCGCCCGUCACACCAUGAGAGCCGGGGGGACCCGAAGUCGGUAGUCUAACCGCAAGGGGGACGCCGCCGAAGGUAAAACUGGUGAUUGGGGUG